rnacentral:tRNA from 1 species
GGUGGGAAUAGUUCAAUCGGUAGAACAUUAGUUUGUGGUACUAACGGUUCCCGGUUCGAUUCCGGGUUUUCACC